UACGUAGGGGGCAAGCGUUGUCCGGAUUUACUGGGCGUAAAGAGCGUGUAGGCGGCCAGGUAGGUCCGGUGUGAAAACUCGAGGCUUAACCUCGAGAUGUCAUCGGAAACCAUCUGGCUAGAGUCCGGAAGAGGAAAGUGGAAUUCCUGGUGUAGCGGUGAAAUGCGCAGAUAUCAGGAAGAACACCAAUGGCGAAAGCAGCUUUCUGGGACGGUACUGACGCUGAGACGCGAAAGCGUGGGGAGCGAACAGG
rnacentral:rRNA from 1 species